rnacentral:rRNA from 1 species
GGGUUGUGAGGUUAAGCGACUAAGCGUACACGGUGGAUGCCCUGGCAGUCAGAGGCGAUGAAGGACGUGCUAAUCUGCGAUAAGCGUCGGUAAGGUGAUAUGAACCGUUAUAACCGGCGAUUUCCGAAUGGGGAAACCCAGUGUGAUUCGUCACACUAUCAUUAACUGAAUCCAUAGGUUAAUGAGGCGAACCGGGGGAACUGAAACAUCUAAGUACCCCGAGGAAAAGAAAUCAACCGAGAUUCCCCCAGUAGCGGCGAGCGAACGGGGAGGAGCCCAGAGCCUGAAUCAGUGUGUGUGUUAGUGGAAGCGUCUGGAAAGGCGCGCGAUACAGGGUGACAGCCCCGUACACAAAAAUGCACAUGCUGUGAGCUCGAUGAGUAGGGCGGGACACGUGGUAUCCUGUCUGAAUAUGGGGGGACCAUCCUCCAAGGCUAAAUACUCCUGACUGACCGAUAGUGAACCAGUACCGUGAGGGAAAGGCGAAAAGAACCCCGGCGAGGGGAGUGAAAAAGAACCUGAAACCGUGUACGUACAAGCAGUGGGAGCACGCUUAGGCGUGUGACUGCGUACCUUUUGUAUAAUGGGUCAGCGACUUAUAUUCUGUAGCAAGGUUAACCGAAUAGGGGAGCCGAAGGGAAACCGAGUCUUAACUGGGCGUUAAGUUGCAGGGUAUAGACCCGAAACCCGGUGAUCUAGCCAUGGGCAGGUUGAAGGUUGGGUAACACUAACUGGAGGACCGAACCGACUAAUGUUGAAAAAUUAGCGGAUGACUUGUGGCUGGGGGUGAAAGGCCAAUCAAACCGGGAGAUAGCUGGUUCUCCCCGAAAGCUAUUUAGGUAGCGCCUCGUGAAUUCAUCUCCGGGGGUAGAGCACUGUUUCGGCAAGGGGGUCAUCCCGACUUACCAACCCGAUGCAAACUGCGAAUACCGGAGAAUGUUAUCACGGGAGACACACGGCGGGUGCUAACGUCCGUCGUGAAGAGGGAAACAACCCAGACCGCCAGCUAAGGUCCCAAAGUCAUGGUUAAGUGGGAAACGAUGUGGGAAGGCCCAGACAGCCAGGAUGUUGGCUUAGAAGCAGCCAUCAUUUAAAGAAAGCGUAAUAGCUCACUGGUCGAGUCGGCCUGCGCGGAAGAUGUAACGGGGCUAAACCAUGCACCGAAGCUGCGGCAGCGACGCUUAUGCGUUGUUGGGUA